rnacentral:rRNA from 1 species
UACGUAGGGGGCAAGCGUUGUCCGGAUUUAUUGGGCGUAAAGAGCGUGUAGGCGGCCAGGUAGGUCAGCUGUGAAAACUCGAGGCUCAACCUCGAGACGCCGGUUGAAACCAUCUGGCUAGAGUCCGGAAGAGGAGAGUGGAAUUCCUGGUGUAGCGGUGAAAUGACGUAGAUAUCAGGAAGAACACCAAUGGCGAAGGCAGGUCUCUGGGCCACUACUGACGCUGAGAAGCGAAAGCAUGGGGGAGCGAACAGG